GCACCCAUUUCAGUCAUCUCUUCUGUUUCAACUAAAGUAUGAAAAUGGCCUUCCCUUCAAGAAAUGCAAGUAUACGUGUAGUGCUCAUAGCUAUCUUAAGGCAUUCAAAUGCUAACUCUAUUUAUGGAUUUUAUUUAAAGGCAUCCAUCUCCAGUAAAUCAAUAAGGGGCCUACUUAUAGUGCCAAAAUUGACAACAUACUUUUCUGUAGUAACUGGUUAUACAAAGAAAUCCCAUGAGAGCUUUGAGUAUUCUUUGUCUAGGCCACUCAUCCAUGGCUCUAAUUUUGAGAGGAUCAAUAGCCACACCUUCUUUGGUAAUGACAUAUCGUUUCUCGACACCUAUUCAAAUGGAUGAAAGAAAUGGCAUAUGCUGAUUACUAUGAGCGCGCGUUAACAAAUGGUGUACUCAGUAUCCAAAGGGGAAGAGAUCCUGGAGUUAUGAUAUAUAUGCUUCCUCUUGGUCGUGGCGUUUCCAAGGCUCAGAGCUACCACAACUGGGGAACACAAUUCGAUUCCUUUUGGGGCUGCUACGGGACAGGAAUUGAAUCAUUCUCCAAGUUGGGGGAUUCUAUAUAUUUUGAAGAGAAAGGGAAUUACUCCAAUAUAUACCUAGCUCUGUUGAUUGGAAAUCUGGGCAGGUCUCGGUGAGUCAGAAAAUUGAACCUGUUGUUUCAUGGGAUAAUCGCCUCCGUGUGACAAUUACAAUAUCUUCAACUGGGCAUUCAAGUGGUCCAUCAUCUACGUUGAACUUGAGAAUACCGAUCUGGACACAUUCAAGUUGCGCAAAGGCAACCUUAAACGGAAAGGAUUUGUCUCCUCCACCACCAGGUGUGACAUUUUCUUCAUCUGAUGUCUUAGUAUUACUAUCAAAUCAUUUUUUUUACCGAGUUAUGGUCUUUAUAUGAUUGAUAUCUUAAAAGAAAAAGUUCUAAGGUGUUUUGUUUCUUCUCACCGAUGAAGGUAAUUUCUUGACAAUCACCAAAACUUGGGGGCAAGGCGAUAAGAUCACUCUAGAGCUACCCAUGAUUCUAAGAACCGAGGCAAUAUAGCAUUGUUGAGGCCAAAAGGAAUCACUGUAAACUUAUAAUGUCCUACGUAAGUUCUGAAAGUUGUCUUUAACACUUCCUAUCCUAAGAUCAUCCUUGGAGAAAAUUAUUGCACCUCACAACCCAUCUAAGAGACGAUCCACUACAGGAAUUAGGCAUUUCUCCUUAUUAGCAAUAUCACAUAGACCCUUAUAAUCCAUACAGAACAUCCACUACAGGAAUUAGGCAUUUGUCCUUUAUUUUUGACUAGUAAUGCUGGUGAAGAAAAAAGAGACUAACUAGGUUGAAUCACUCCAACAGUAAGCAUAUCUAUUACUUAUUUCUAUAAUUCAUUCUUAUGAUUGUAGUAGUAUAUGUCGGGUCUCAGACUAACUAGCAUUGCCACAGGUUUGAGUGGAAUGGCAUGAUCCAAGGACCUCACAGGGGGCAAGGAUUUAGGUUCAACGAAUACCUCAGUGUACUGUUUUCCACCUCUUGCACCAUAGCAUAAAAAAUGUCUUCACUUGUAUUUUGGACCAUAAUCAUCAUGGACAGGUGAGAAAUCAGAGCAUGUCCCUUUUUCAACAUUCUACUCAUAGAACUACUAGUAAGCAUCCUCAAAACUUUCUUCUACUAGAGCUGGCAGAACCAGUUUGUUAGGUUUUCUACAAAUAGGUUUUCUACUAGAGCUUCUUAUCUUCUUUUCCCUUUCACAAUUAUAGCAUGCGUCUCUGUACAUAUUGUUAUGUUCUUUUUGUAAAUAGAAUAGUAUAUUUAGCAGGUAACCACUUGUAAGACACUGGAAAAUGCAGAAUGAUUAAGUAAUGGAAAUUUUUUUUAAUUUUUUUUGA